rnacentral:rRNA from 1 species
UGGGGAAUAUUGGACAAUGGGGGCAACCCUGAUCCAGCGAUGCCGCGUGUGUGAAGAAGGCCUAAGGGUUGUAAAGCACUUUCGGUGGGGAGGAGGACAUUGAGGUUAAGAGCUACGAUGUUGGACGUUACCCACAAAAGAAGCACCGGCUAACUCCGUGCCAGCAGCCGCGGUAAUACGGAGGGUGCGAGCGUUAAUCGGAUUUACUGGGCGUAAAGGGUGCGUAGGCGGUGAUAUAAGUUAAGUGUGAAAGUCCUGGGCUUAACCUGGGGAAGUCACUUAAGACUGUAUAACUAGAGUAUGGGAGAGGGUAGUGGAAUUUCCGGUGUAGCGGUGAAAUGCGUAGAGAUCGGAAGGAACACCAGUGGCGAAGGCGGCUACCUGGCCCAAUACUGACGCUGAGGCACGAAAGCGUGGGGAGCAAACAGG